CAAGUUUGGUGAUACGCGGGCGC
rnacentral:miRNA from 1 species